GCGCCCGUAGCUCAGCUGGAUAGAGCAACGGACUUCUAAUCCGUAGGUCGCAGGUUCAAAUCCUGCCGGGCGCGCCA
rnacentral:tRNA from 2 species